rnacentral:rRNA from 1 species
UUUGUCGGACUUCUCUUGAUAUUGAAAAUCUGGGUGUUUAUGUAUUUUUUGACAUACACGGUUGAAUGUCUAUAGAAUGAAAUUAUAGGCUCUUGUCAGCCUUUAAAUGAUAAAAUACAACUUUCAACAACGGAUCUCUUGGCUCUCGCAUCGAUGAAGAACGCAGCGAAAUGCGAUAAGUAAUGUGAAUUGCAGAAUUCAGUGAAUCAUCGAAUCUUUGAACGCAUCUUGCGCUCCUUGGUAUUCCGAGGAGCAUGCCUGUUUGAGUGUCAUUAAAUAUCUCAAAACUCUUGUGCUUUUGUUGGCAUAGGACUUUUGGACAUUGGGAGUUGCCGGCUGCUGGUAAAGUAGUGGGCUCUUCUGAAAAGCAUUAGUUGAGGAGCUUUGCACUCUUAUUGGUGUGAUAAACUAUCUAUGCCAAGAGAUGCUUCAUGAUCCUCUGCCGUCUAACUGUCUUUAUAAGACAAUAUGAUAA